rnacentral:rRNA from 1 species
ACUGAACGCUGGCGGCAUGCUUUACACAUGCAAGUCGAACGGUAACAGGCCGCAAGGUGCUGACGAGUGGCGAACGGGUGAGUAAUGCAUCGGAACGUGCCCAGUCGUGGGGGAUAACGCAGCGAAAGCUGCGCUAAUACCGCAUACGAUCUAUGGAUGAAAGCGGGGGACCGUAAGGCCUCGCGCGAUUGGAGCGGCCGAUGUCAGAUUAGGUAGUUGGUGGGGUAAAGGCUCACCAAGCCAACGAUCUGUAGCUGGUCUGAGAGGACGACCAGCCACACUGGGACUGAGACACGGCCCAGACUCCUACGGGAGGCAGCAGUGGGGAAUUUUGGACAAUGGGCGCAAGCCUGAUCCAGCAAUGCCGCGUGCAGGAAGAAGGCCUUCGGGUUGUAAACUGCUUUUGUACGGAACGAAACGGUCCUGGUUAAUACCCGGGGCUAAUGACGGUACCGUAAGAAUAAGCACCGGCUAACUACGUGCCAGCAGCCGCGGUAAGAC